UACGGGGGGGGCAAGCGUUGUUCGGAAUUACUGGGCGUAAAGGGCGCGUAGGCGGCUCGUGAAGUCGGGUGUGAAAGCCCGGGGCUCAACCCCGGAACGGCAUCCGAUACUGGCGGGCUUGAGACCGGGAGAGGAGGGUGGAAUACCCAGUGUAGAGGUGAAAUUCGUAGAUAUUGGGUGGAACACCGGUGGCGAAAGCGGCUCUCUGGCCCGGAUCUGACGCUGAGGCGCGAAAGCGUGGGGAGCAAACAGG
rnacentral:rRNA from 1 species